GACGAACGCUGGCGGCGUGCCUAAUACAUGCAAGUAGAACGCACAGUUUAUACCGUAGCUUGCUACACCAUAGACUGUGAGUUGCGAACGGGUGAGUAACGCGUAGGUAACCUGCCUGGUAGCGGGGGAUAACUAUUUGAAACGAUAGCUAAUACCGCAUAAUAUUGAUUAUUGCAUGAUAAUUAAUUGAAAGGUGCAAUUGCACCACUACCAGAUGGACCUGCGUUGUAUUAGCUAGUAGGUGAGGUAACGGCUCACCUAGGCGACGUAACAUAGCCGACCAGAGAGGGUGAUCGGCCACACUGGGAUUGGGACACGGCCCAGACCCCUACGGGAGGGAGCAGUAGGGAAUCUUCGGCAAUGGACGCAAGGCCGACCGAGCAACGCCGCGGGAGUGAAGAAUGUUUUCGGAUCGUAAAGAUCUGUUGUAAGAGAAGAACGGGUGUGAGAGUGGAAAGUUCACACUGUGACGGUAUCUUAACAGAAAGGGACGGCUAACUACGUG
rnacentral:rRNA from 1 species